rnacentral:rRNA from 1 species
UACAGAGGUGGCAAGCGUUGUUCGGAAUUACUGGGCGUAAAGGGCGCGUAGGCGGUCUUGUAAGUCCUGUGUGAAAUCCCUCGGCUCAACUGAGGAACUGCACGGGAUACUGCGAGACUUGAGUUCGGGAGAGGGAAGCGGAAUUCCGGGUGUAGCGGUGGAAUGCGCAGAUAUCAGGAGGAACACCAAUAGCGAAGGCAGCUCGCUGGGACGUUACUGACACUGAGGCGCGAAAGCGUGGGGAGCGAACAGG